CGGGCACCCCGGCAUGUAGAGCCUGACGGAGCGGCGCGGAGGUUGAUGUGGAAUGGAUCAAGCUGGGGGCUUACUGCUGCUCAAGUCUGCCCAAAGCAGGACGUUUGGAGAAAGACUGCAAUUUGCAUGAGUGCCUGAGUCUGUGGGAACUGUUGAAUACUACAGAAGAAUAGGCUGGUCUAACACCAAACUCAUGAGCACCUUCAGCCUGACACCUUUUCUGUUCAGUUCACAUAUGCCCAAGGCUUGGACAUGCGACCUCAUCUGGUUCUGGCAAAAGUUCAAACAUCACCCAUUGUAGAAGUAGGAAGGCUAAGUAAUGAAAACCUGGGACUCUCUUGUAUAACGAGUGUACUUGCAAUCAGCACUGAUACCCCAGAAUCAACCCUUCACUGAAUGGAGUGGAACAUCUCUGAGCCUUUUGCUCCUUUCUCGGGCUCUCUGCUAAUUUGUGUAACUGUCUAAGCAUCAGAUAUCCAUGUUUUCUGGACUCCUUCGCUGCUGUCAUAGAUGGAAACUUUCAGGUGAGAAACCAAGAGGGGAAAAAAGCAAGAGGAAGCUGAAAGUAAAUGAAGACUCAGGAGAACAGUGCCUGUCAGAAGAAAUUGGUGGUGUUUUGUCACAGUACAUCUGCCGCUCCAGUGCUUUGUUCUAGAGAAAACAUCAGCAGGGAAAACAGCUGUGCUACCCUGAAGCCUUACUCUUCUGCUGUCUUCCUCGUGUACUUCAGCUGUUGAUUGGUGGUAAAGGUGAGCUUGGACAGAAAUGAGUUGCUGGACCUGGGCUUCACUCCAAAGUCUCCUGGCUUUUCUUCCCCUAGAAAUGGGGGUGAUGAUACUUUGCAUCUUGCAGGGAGCCUUAACGAGAAUUGCUAGUAAGCAAAUUCCCAUUUUUGCAGGAUGAGGGCUCUUAAGCCCAGGACCAUGAAGAAAAAUGAGGGAAAUUUGAAAACAUUGCCUGUCUGGUAAUGUAGAUGCUGUUUGCAUUUCUGUUUAUAGCUGCAGUUUGGCUAUGCAUAAAUAAAGCUGUCUCGUGUGUAACACACUUUUUCAGCUGAUUUUGAGCUCUGUGUGGUAGUAAUAGAAGUGUCUUAUAGUAGAGAAGCCUCAGCAGGCAUUGGCUAUAAGUGGGCAUGUGUGGAAAUGCAUUUCUUCUCUGUCAAAAGUGGUGUUAAAUUGGUGGUUGUUUUAUCUGAUUGAGUCAAAGGGAUCCUCUCAGGCUACAUGUGAACAAGGUUGUAUGAUAUCUAGUUGGCAGGAUUCAAUGGAUUUACAAAGCUGUUUUCACGAAGAACACUCAGUAAUUGCUUCUGCACUGGGUUGACAGAGUGAUAACACCCUUGUAGUUUAAUAAAUAGCAGAGUGGGCAAUCCUUAAGUGUGUGAG
ensembl:lncRNA